rnacentral:rRNA from 1 species
GACGAACGCUGGCGGCGUGCUUAACACAUGCAAGUCGAACGGAAAGGCCCUGCUUUUGUGGGGUGCUCGAGUGGUGGACGGGUGAGUAACACGUGAGUAACCUGCCCUUGACUUUGGGAUAACUUCAGGAAACUGGGGCUAAUACCGGAUAGGAGCUCCUGCUGCAUGGUGGGGGUUGGAAAGUUUCGGCGGUUGGGGAUGGACUCGCGGCUUAUCAGCUUGUUGGUGGGGUAGUGGCUUACCAAGGCUUUGACGGGUAGCCGGCCUGAGAGGGUGACCGGCCACAUUGGGACUGAGAUACGGCCCAGACUCCUACGGGAGGCAGCAGUGGGGAAUAUUGCACAAUGGGCGGAAGCCUGAUGCAGCAACGCCGCGUGCGGGAUGACGGCCUUCGGGUUGUAAACCGCUUUCGCCUGUGACGAAGCGUGAGUGACGGUAAUGGGUAAAGAAGCACCGGCUAACUACGUG